AUUGAACGCUGGCGGCAUGCUUUACACAUGCAAGUCGAACGGCAGCGCGGGCUUCGGCCUGGCGGCGAGUGGCGAACGGGUGAGUAAUGCAUCGGAACGUGCCCAGUAGUGGGGGAUAGCCCGGCGAAAGCCGGAUUAAUACCGCAUACGACCUGAGGGUGAAAGCGGGGGACCGAAAGGCCGCGCGCUAUUGGAGCGGCCGAUGUCGGAUGAGCUAGUUGGUGGGGUAAAGGCUUACCAAGGCGACGAUCCGUAGCUGGUCUGAGAGGACGACCAGCCACGCUGGGAGGGAGACGCGGCGGAGACUGCGACGGGAGGGAGCUGUGGGGAAUAUGCGACAAUGGGGGAAAGCGUGAGCCGGCGAUGCCGCGUGAGGGAUGAAGGCCUUAGGGUUGUAAUGCGCUUUCACCCGGGAGGAUAAUGACAGUACAGGAAGAAUAAGCGCGGGCUAACUCCGUG
rnacentral:rRNA from 1 species